rnacentral:lncRNA from 10 species
AGAACCAGCCCUUUUCUUACGCAGCUGGGAGCCUUGGGAGGACUACUCAGAUGAUAGGAACCAGUGGUUGAAAAAGAAAGAGAAACAAGAUGAAAGGAUUCGUGACUUUUCUGGGAAGUAUAAAAAGCUAUUUUGUGCCUCUUCUUUAUUUAGUUGCCAAUAGAUUGUUUUAUUUAUCUAUCUUGUUGUGUGAUAAAAUGCGAUAUGGGAGUAAUUGUUUUUCUUGUGUGUGCAUGCAUGUACGUAUUUCUAUUUUGAUGAAGUGCUGACCCUGCUGAUUCAGAAUACCUUUAAGUUUUACAAAGAUUUUGUUUUCUCCUGGCUUCCUCUUGCAUACACAAAGGCAGUAAUAGAGUGUCAUUUAAAUAAUAUGCCUUGGUUAGAACACAGCAAACUAGUUAAGAGAAACAUUUUAGAGGUUGACCUAAAAUACAUUAACUUUGAAAUAAAUAUACAUCUGGUAUAAAGAAUGAAUUUUACCAAAUAUGCAUAUCAGUUAUACCAACAGAUACCAUUUUGGGAAGAUACGUAUUCUGGUUUUAAAAAUAUUUUAGUUUGAGUUCAGUUGUAUUAUAGCUUACAUAAUACUAAUUAGAUGCUGGCUCAGAACUAUGUGUUAGUCAAAAAUUUUGGCUAGGUUCUCAUGAAAUAUCUGAAAGGCUAAAGAACAAUGUAAUUAUGCAUACAUUUAAAAUUUUGAAAGAAACAUCCCAUGUGCUACCUGACAGUGAAAUUGUCCCUGAUGAUAAGGAGAAAGGAUAAGAAGAUGCUGGGGACUGCCCGGUUCAGAGUGGACAUACUCAGGCCUAAUUCCUUAAAUAUUCAACUGAACUAGAUGAUGCUCUAUGAUCUAUAAGCUCUCUGUGCCUUGGUUUCUAAUAGAACAAAAUGUAGGGAGCAUCAAUCUCAUAAAUAUUUCUUUUCUUUCUUCUUUUUUUUUUAUAAACUGAAUGGAGAUUCCUGUGCAGUAGACUAUAUCAUAAAUGCUGGCAUUAGAAGAUUAGAAAAACUCCUGUCUUAUAAACUAUUUUAUAUUGGGUAUUUACUAUUUAUAGCUAACGGAUUUCUAAAUAUAUGAUUUGACCUGCUACAUUUAAACUAAGUAAUAAAAUACGUGUCAAAUAAUCCAAGUUAAUAUCCAAAGUCAUGACAUUAUCAAAGUUACAGUUUUUUCUUAAUCUGUCAAGAAUUUCAGUGCUAAAUUGACCUUAAUUUUUUAAAAAAAUAAUAUUUAGGUAACUUUCUGAUUACUCAAAAUAGUUCAGAACUGUAACUCAUGCUCCUGUGUGUGUGUGAUUUUUCUGCCUGUGCACUCUAUAACUGUGACUUGCUCAAGGGUGCUAAGAAGAGAGAAGCUGAUGUGGCUGAUGUUGGAAGGUGAUGAAUUCAUCCAUGGUAAAAGAAAUAUCCCUUAAGGCAGGGGUCUCCAACCCCUGGACCAUGGACAGAUCAGUGGCAGCAUCAGAUUCUCACAGGAGCAUGAACCCCACGGUGAACUCCACAUGCAAGGGAUGUAGUUGCGUGCUCCCUAUGAGAACCUAAUGCUUGAUGAUCCGAGGUAGAACAGUUUCAUCCCAAAACCAUUCCCCUGCCUCCGUAGAAAUAUUGUCUUCCACGAAACUAGGCCCUGGUGCCAAAAAGGUUGGGGCCUGCUGCCUUAGGGCAUGUCCUGUUACCAGCUUCCAGUUGCCCUUGAAGUGGUCUUCAUUAUCCUGGCUUUCUCUCCUCAGCCUCUUCUUCCUGCUGGACUUCCUACGGGCCUAUCCCUCACUGGCUCUGGGUCCUGGGCCUCUACCCAGGCCUGAGUCCAUGUGCUCAGAAAAGGUGUGGUUUCAUCCUUCUGGAGUACUGGUGUUCAUGUGACUGUCCUUUGAAAGAACAGGGCAAGAGUCAUCUGUUUUCUAUUAAACUUUAAUGACAUUUGAUACACACAAGACACUGAGAGAGGGGCAGAGAAAACUGGAUGUGCAGAUAAAAUGGAGACCAAAGUAGUACAUCAGGAGAGAUGUGAAGAUAUCCCAGCCUGCCAAUAUUGAGUGAAAGCACUUUGGAAAGUAGUAACUUGGAUAUCAGAAUAAAUAAAUAUUAUGGAUUCUCCCCUGCAAGUUUUACCCAGUAUCCCUGAAAGAAAAAGCUUCCUCUCACCUGUUUUGACUGUACGUGUGGCUGUGCUCUCUGGCUUCAGAAUUGCUUCUAUAGGAAGAAAUUAAUCAUCGAUUAUUCUACUAAAAUAGAUGCUUCACAGGACAAAAGGGAUUUUAAUUUGAAGAAAGAGAGGAAGAGAGAAAAUGACAAAGGGAAGAGAACUAACGGGCGGGAAGGGUGAGAGACAAAAGGAAAAGAUAAGAGAGAAGCACAAAAGGUGGUGGCGUCUCACAGGUCAGAAGAAGCUGCGUGAUGGGAGCUGGUCUUGGACAAAGUGGCAGUGAUGAAGAUGGGAGAACAAAAAGAUGGAAAAGUUCCAGAUCAUUGAUGAUGUCAUUGAGCUAAUAAGUUAACCAUCCCUAGAGUCACUCUGCCUCAAAAUUUCUUGCUCUAUGAGAUAAUAAAAAAUCCUUGUUGCUUAGG